rnacentral:rRNA from 1 species
CACGUAGGGAGCAAGCGUUGUCCGGAUUUAUUGGGCGUAAAGAGCUCGUAGGCUGUUCGAUAAGUCGGGUGUGAAACCUCCAGGCUCAACCUGGAGACGCCACCCGAUACUGUCAUGACUAGAGUCCGGUAGGGGAGCGUGGAAUUCCUGGUGUAGCGGUGAAAUGCGCAGAUAUCAGGAGGAACACCAGCGGCGAAGGCGGCGCUCUGGGCCGGUACUGACGCUGAUGCGCGAAAGCCAGGGGAGCGAACGGG